GCCUAGCCCUAAACACAAAUGAACAUCUACCCCACCACUCGCCAGGGAACUACGAGCCCCAGCUUAAAACCCAAAGGACUUGGCGGUGCUUUAGACCCCCUAGAGGAGCCUGUUCUAGAAUCGAUGAUCCCCGUUAAACCUCACCCUCCCUUGUUUAACCAGCCUAUAUACCGCCGUCGUCAUCUUACCCUGUGAAGGUCAAAUAGUAAGAAAAAUCGGCAAACCCCAAUACGUCAGGUCAAGGUGUAGCGCACGGGAGGGGAAGAAAUGGGCUACAUUUACUGACCCAGUAAAUACGGAUCUUGCACUGAAAUAAGCAUUUGAAGGAGGAUUUAGCAGUAAGGGGGAAACAGAGUGCCUCCCUGAAGCCGGCCCUAAAGCGCGCACACACCGCCCGUCACUCUCCCCAAGGCCCACCAAAAAAUAAUUAAUAACCAGCCAGCCACAAAGGGGAGGCAAGUCGUAACAUGGUAAGUGUAGCGGAAGCUGCACUUGGAAAACUC
rnacentral:rRNA from 1 species